ACCGGCGAACGGGGUAGGAACACCUCGGUAACGAACCCUCAAGACGGGGAUAGCGGCGGGAAACUGCCGGUAAUACCCGAUGAUCUGGCAGGACUGUGAUGCCUGCCAGCAAAGGUGUGAUCCGCUUGAGGACCGGCUGAGGCGCUAUUAGCUAGUUGGUAAGGUCACGGCUUACCAAGGCGACGAUGGCUAGAGGGUGUGAGAGCAUGGCCCCCACCACUGGCACUGAGACACUGGCCAGACACCUACGGGUGGCUGCAGUCGAGAAUCUUCGGCAAUGGGCGCAAGCCUGACCGAGCGACGCCGCGUGCGGGAUGAAGGUCUUCGGAUUGUAAACCGCUGUCGGGGGGGAUGAAAUGCACCGGGGCUAUCCCCGGUGUUUGACAGAGCCCCAGAGGAAGCACGGGCUAAGUUCGUGCCAGCAGCCGCGGUAAUACGAACUGUGCGAACGUUAUUCGGAAUCACUGGGCUUAAAGGGUGCGUAGGCGGUUUGUUAAGUCAGGUGUGAAAUCCCCCGGCUCAACCGGGGAACAGCGCUUGAAACUAGCAGACUUGAGUGAGGUAAGGAUGUGCGGAACUUCCAGUGGAGCGGUGAAAUGUGUAGAUAUUGGAAGGAACGCCGGUGGCGAAAGCGGCACACUGGGCCUUGUCUGACGCUGAGGCACGAAAGCUAGGGGAGUGAACGGGAUUAGAUACCCCGGUAAUCCUAGCCGUAAACACUG
rnacentral:rRNA from 1 species